GAUGAACGCUAGCGACAGGCCUAACACAUGCAAGUCGAGGGGCAUCAUGGAGGUAGCAAUACCUUCGAUGGCGACCGGCGCACGGGUGAGUAACACGUAUGCAACCUACCUACUACAGGGAAAUAACCCGGCGAAAGUCGGACUAAUGUCCCAUAACACAGGGAUGCCGCAUGGCAAUAUUUGUUAAAGAAUUAUCGGUAGUAGAUGGGCAUGCGUUCCAUUAGCCAGUUGGAGAGGUAACGGCUCACCAAAGCAAUGAUGGAUAGGGGAACUGAGAGGUUUAUCCCCCACACUGGAACUGAGACACGGACCAGACUCCUACGGGAGGCAGCAGUGAGGAAUAUUGGUCAAUGGACGAGAGUCUGAACCAGCCAAGUCGCGUGAAGGAAGACUGCCUUAUGGGUUGUAAACCUCUUUUGCAGGAGAGUAAAAAAGGGGAUGUAUCCCCUCUUGCAAGUACCCUGCGAAUAAGCAUCGGCUAACUCCGUGCCAGCCGCCGCCGUAAAAC
rnacentral:rRNA from 1 species